UUCAGCCUUCACACAAGGUUAGUGUUGACAACCUAGCCUGUUGGGAGCUGGAGCUUCUAUUUUAGACCGAGGAUUAUGUGAAGAUCAUACCCAGGAACCAGCACUUGAUUUCGGAUGCAAAAAGCAGGGCCCCUCGGUCGGAAAUCAUCAGAGGAAAAAGAAGCUUAGCAGAAGCGCGUUAUACAAAGCAGGGAAAAGGUAAUAUUAUAUAGAAGAGAUGUUUAACUCCAAUUGCAGAUGGAGAAUUUAAGUCUUUAAGUGGCUGUCAGCUGCAAGAUUUAAUAAAUGGAGCAUGACCAAGGAAUGCAGAGAAAGAUACCUGAAGAUCCGAAUGAAAAUACUCUUAAGACCUUACCAGAGACCAAUUCAGCAUAUUGUUAGAGGUGAAAACCUGACUGGAAUGUAACACUUGUUUUGCUAAAAAGUCAACUUUAGUUUUGUUUCCUCAUUUGUCACUGUAAAUAAAGAUCAUAAAUGUAA